GCCAUACUAUAUGCACACCUCAUAUCAAACCAUUUUACUGCAGCAUUUUUGAGAUAUGGGUCCAAAUGGUGAUUUGUAGGGCUAUAAAGACAUCAUUUCUAAUAAGUAGAAAAAAACAAUGGUCAGUUCUUAUAAAGGACAUCCCAUACUAUAUGCACACCUCAUAUCAAACCCUUUUACUGCAGCAUUUUUGAGAUAUGGGACAUUAUUACACUUUAAAGGGCUAUAAAGAUCCCAUUUCUAAUAAGUAGAAAAAAACAAAAGUCAGUUCUUAUCAGGGACCUCCCACACUAUAUGCACACCUCAUAUCAAGCCAUUUUACUGCAGCAUUUUCGAGAUAUGGGACAUUAUUACACUUUAAAUGGCUGUAAAGAUCCCAUUUCUAAUAAGUAGAAAAAAGCAACAGUCAGUUCUUAUCAGGGAUGUCCCAUACUAUAUGCACACCUCAUAUCAAACCAUUUUACUGCAGCAUUUUUGAGAUAUGGGACAUUAUUACACUUUAAAUGGCUGUAAAGAUCCCAUUUCUAAUAAGUAGAAAAAAGCAACAGUCAGUUCUUAUCAGGGAUGUCCCAUACUAUAUGCACACCUCAUAUCAAACCAUUUUACUGCAGCAUUUUCGAGAUAUGGGACAUUAUUACACUUUAAAGGGCUAUAAAGAUCCCAUUUCUAAUAAGUAGAAAAAAACAAUGGUCAGUUCUUAUAAAGGAUAUGCCAUAGUAUAUGCACACCUCAUAUCAAACCAUUUUACUGCAGCAUUUUUGAGAUAUGGGUCCAAAUGGUGAUUUGGAGGGCUAUAAAGGCAUCAUUUCUAAUAAGUAGAAAAAAAACAAUGGUCAGUUCUUAUAAAGGACAUCCCAUACUAUAUGCACACCUCAUAUCAAACCCUUUUACUGCAGCAUUUUUGAGAUAUGGGACAUUAUUACACUUUAAAGGGCUAUAAAGAUCCCAUUUCUAAUAAGUAGAAAAAAACAACAGUCAGUUCUUAUCAGGGACCUCCCACACUAUAUGCACACCUCAUAUCAAACCAUUUUACUGCAGCAUUUUUGAGAUAUGGGUCCAAAUGGUGAUUUAGAGUGCUACAAAGACCCCAUUUCUAAUAAGUAGAAAAAAGAAUAGUCAGUUCUUAUCAGGGACGUCCCAUACUAUAUGCACACCUCAUAUCAAACCAUUUUACUGCAGCAUUUUUGAGAUAUGGGUCCAUAUGGUAAUUUAGAGGACUAUAAAGACCACAUUUCUAAUAAGUUGAAAAACAAAUGUCAGCUCCUUUAAGGGAUGUCCCAUACUAUAUGCACACCUCAUAUCAAACCAUUUUACAGCAGCAUUUUCAGAUAUGGGACUAUAUGGUGAUUCUUUGGGCUAUAAAUAUCCCAUGUCGCUCCCACAUUAUCUUAAGUGUUCUUAAUACCUGUGUAUAUACAAUGUAACUACAUGUGUACGUAAUAUAUAACACAGUGUAAGUAUACAUUGGUAUAUAGUAUCCAUGGCUAUAAUAUUUUUGUAACAACCCUCAGAAUGGUUUGUGCAAGUACAAAUGUAUAACAGGACAUGUAAAUCUACAUUUUGUAACAACAAUAUGUAUAAGAGUAAUUUGAACCAUUUGAUCCAGGUGGUGGAGAUGGGUGGGUUUAGGGUUCUGUAAAGUGGGAGGAGUUGGUGCACCACUUUAAUACCCGUGUACUUACAUGGUAACUCCUCAGGAACUGUCGACUUCAUUUAAAGUGCAACAUUGUGGACACCAACCACAUUUUAUAUGUAAAGCCUAAUUUACUUGCCACUGCAGUGUAACAUAGGGGUAAUUACAUAAUAAAUUGAAUAUUGCUAUUAGUCCUGUUACACAUUUGUACUUUCUUACCAAUAAAUUUUAUCACCAAUGUCCUGUUGCACAUUUGUACUUACACAUACCAUUCAAUGGGUUAUUACAAAUAUGUAGUUACACAAACAUUAGAGCUAUAGAUACUAUGUACUAAUGUGUACUUACACUGUGGUUACAUACUACAUACACAUCUAAUUACUAAGUACACAGGUAUUAGGGACACAAUAUAAAGUGGAACCCCCAUUUCUAAUAAGUUGAAAAAAAAAACAAUAUUUAGUUUGUAUAUUGGAGGUGCCAUACUAUAUUCACACCUUAUAUAAAAAAGUUUUACUGCAUUUCUAGCAUUUUGCAAAGAUGUUUUUCUGUUUUUCUGAAAUGUAUUCUGUUUCAGAGGCCUAGAAAGACCCCAUUUCUAAUAAGUAGAAGAAUACAAUGAUCAGUUAGUACAUGGGACAUCCCACAAGCACACCUUAUAUAAAACUAUUUUACUGAAGUAUUUGGUGUAUAAAGAUAUUUUACGAUAGCAAUUUGGGGUUAAAAAUCAAGAAAAUCCUCAGAAACUCCAGUUUUGAGAACUAUUUCAAAUAAGUUUAAAAAAAGGCCAUUCCUUCUAAAGUUCCUCCUACAUUUUAAGCACACCUAAUGUGAAGUCUGUGUACUGUGGCAGUUUGUAGAAGCAUGCAUUCAUAUAGAACAAAACACUCAAAUACAUUUUAAUAUUUCCUAAUUUUUUGCAACCUAUAGAAAUGUUUUUUUUCAAAUACUUAAAAGAAAUAAUGGCCUUUUCUUACAAAGUAGCUCAUAUUCUAUCUGCACAGAUAAUCUGAAGUCUGUGUACUUUGGCAGUUUGUUGCAUACAUCCAAAUUUAAAAAUAUUAUAUAUUAUAUAUAUAUAUCAGACUUCAGACUAUCUGUGCUGAUAGAAUAUGAGCUACUUUAUAUAUAUAUUAUAGACUGGAUAUUUUUUCCCCAGUUUUGAGGUUUAUAUAAACAUCAGGUUAAAUACAUACAGUAGAUAAAAAUAAUGGCCUUUGCAUGCAAGGCACUCCCUAUUCUUUCAGCAAAUAUGAAGUCACACACACUUGUCUGUCACACUAUACUUCACACACUUUCUAAACACCAAAUAUGGAGUCUUUGCUCUGUGAAAGUUUAGAGUAGCUUGCAUUCAAUGGAUGAAUGGAUCAUAGCGUAUCCCCAGUCUUGUUUCUGGAAAUCUCACUUAAAGUUCAGUUCCAACCCUAAUCUAAUUAAGAGUCAGGAACAAUUCAUAGUUACAGAAAGGUUUGCUGGAGCAGGAUUGACACUGAACUCUGCACGAAGAAAUAGGGUUGUGAUGAGUGGGGCGGGGCCGCGAGCCAUGAGAACGGAAUGAGGCCAGUGGAGUGACUGGAAAUGAGCGACGCCUGCUCCACUCACUGGUCUCGCGUCCCGCGGUGGAGAUGGAAGGAUACAAAAGAGGGGGCGACAACAGUGAACAACGAGAGAGGGCCAGGCCAGGCCAUGAUUUUAGUUUGUGUUUGGUUUUUGUUUGUAAGCGACAGUCGUCCGUGAAGGGCUGUCGCAGUGUUUUGUGUUUAUUUUGUUAUUAAAAGCCUUAUUUGAUUGA